CUACCUAUUACUACACAUUUAUAUUCUUCAAAACAAAACCUAUGAAAACUAUUAUAUGUAUCAAAACUAUAGAAUGACCCUAACAUGCAAGUGACUGAGGAGCCUGUGUUAUAUAUAACUGACAGUGGGAUCUUGCUUCAUGUGAGAAACAGGUAUGAAGUAGUGAGCACAAGAAGAGGUGGAUUUGCCAGAUGUACCUAAGUAUAAUUUAUUCUUAGCUAUAAACAAACCAAUCUGAAGAUCCCAUGGCUUAGCAACUCUAGCUACCAUAUCUUCUCGAGCAUAAGAUAGAAGGGUCAUAUAGACACAGCUGGCUUUGUUCUCAUAGCACCACCCAAGAUGUUCCACUGGAAUUGACGAUCCCCCCCCAUUUGCAAUGCCU
rnacentral:lncRNA from 1 species